GCGGGGUCUUGUUCGAUGGCAGCUUGAUUAAAACAAUUUAGACGAAUUAGACUUGUUAACGAGAUUAUUUCCGCUUUUAUCAAAUAGCGAAGAGAAAAUGUGGUUUAUAAAUAUUAUUAAAGCUAUUUAAGCACGUUAAUUUCGUGCCCAUCGUGUUUUUAAGAUGUAUAUUCAUUACAUGGUAGGAGCCAUUUUUACUAUAUUUAUUUUGUGUGUUCAUUGUGAUAAUGCAGCUAACGACAACGAAAUCAAAGAGAUUCUCGUUCCGUCCGCACCACGAAACCUGAUAGCCUACAACGUGACGUCAGUGGAAGUCAACCUCGCGUGGAUCCCUCCUUCAACUUUCACUCGGAGUAAACUCCCAAUCAUCAGCAAGGAUGUAGAAGAGACCACGAAGACUGAGCCUCAAGGAGACGAGCCAAAUGACGUCGUACCCACGACUGAUACUCUCAUACCAGAGAAACCCAAAGACUUGGGUUUCUCAUACAAUUUGUAUAAGAACGAAGACAUUAAGAACUAUGAGUACUCGUCCAGUAUACUACUGGAUCCGCCUAGAAGUAGGAGGGAUGUGUGGUCCCGUAGGCACAGGAAGCGGCGUCAGGACAACGGGACUAAUGGCGUUCAUUUGGAAUAUUACGAACAUCUAGAGAUCUUCAACGAGUCAACAUUUCCUAUUGAAGUGGUCAAAAAUGGACGACACAGACCCACAAAGAGACCACACAGAUGGCCUACGUGCUGUAUUACGAACAAGGAGUUCCAAGAUACGACGCGAAUGUGAGCGGUGUGCAAACGCCAGAGGAUGUGCUCAAGAAGAACAUAUUCCCAAGCAACUUGGGGAUCAGGGACAACUUGAAACCGACUAUGAAUCUCACGCUGUGGAAUAAAGCGGGGAAGGUGACCAAGGUCGUCGGAUUUCGGCUGAAGAAUUUGAAACCAUUCACCCCGUACAAGAUUUGGGUGCGGGCUUUCUACUACUUCCCUCUGGAGAACGUGACGUCAUCAGACCUCCUGGCUCACCUGGGGCCCGAGUCGGAGCCGCUUUACGUGCUCACUGACGUUAGACCGCCGUCAGCGCCUAUCAUAUUGAACCUCACCUGCGAUCAGCCUAAACGUACACUGUACCUCCAAUGGCGGCAACCACUGGAGUACAACAACUCGAUAGACCAGUAUGUGGUGACCCUCAGGAAGAUUCCGGAACAGCAGCCCAGAACUCGACUAACACUGCCCACAAACAAGAACGACAUAGAGACUACCAUUAGUGUGGAGGUGGAGCUGUGGAACGUGACACGCUACGAGGUGAAGAUAUACGCCGUCACGCUGUCCGUGACACGCGAUAACGGAUUGAUAAACGGCUCCGAGUCGCCGCCUGAGGAGGUGUCGAGCGAGUGGUGCGCGGCGCACUCGGAGGCGAUGUCGCCGCCCGACACGCGCCACCACGUGCGCGCGCUCAGCACCGCCGCGCUCGUCGCGCUUCGUGCCGCUCGUGCUGCUCGCCGCGCUCGCGCUCGCGCUGCUCUACUGGAGGUGCAGGUCUCGCCUCAGCAAAUGUAUAAGCGCAGCGUACAAUUACCUGGAGGAGGGUGGGGAGAGGGCCGCCAGGGCGCCUCUGAACGUAUACAAGAAACCGGUGAACUGCUCGCCGCUGCGGUCGUGUGCGUCGGGCGGCGCGGAGGCGGAGGGCGGCGUGGAGUCGGGCGCGCGCCCCCCGCGCAUGGCCGGCCACCACCACCCCGCCAUCACGGCCACCGACUUCCCCAGGCACGUGGCCGCGCUGCACGCCGACGGGGAUAUCGGCUUCAGCAAAGAGUACGAGAUAGUAGUGACGAGGUCCAACGCGCUGGCCCACACAAGCCAUCACAGUCACCGGCCUGAAAACAGACUGAAGAAUCGAUAUUUGAACAUAACAGCGUACGACCACUCGCGCGUGUGCGUGUCGGCGGGCGGGCGCUGCGGCGCGGCGGGUGCGUGGGCGCGGGGCGCGGCGGCGCGUGCGACUACGUCAACGCCAACUUCAUCGACGGCAUGCUGCCCGCGCUGCAGCCGCACCACGUCGCCAGGAUCCGCCGCCGGCUCGAGAGACGCGCCCGGCCCGACAGACAACCAUCGGUGAAGGCAUCAAAGCCGCCGCCGAACCUAGCCGACGGCAUAGAGUCCGCGUUCCUGAACAUAGAGUUCAGCGGUAUCGUGGAGUCAGACGAGCAGAACGACGACUCGGACAGCGAUCGGAGUGAUGACGAUAGCGAAUUGGACGACGUGUACGUCGACUUAGAGGGCGUCCGGACUCGCGUGAAGCUCGAGUGGUUGCUAUGGAAACGGCGGUACAUCGCGACGCAAGGCCCCACGCCGGCCACCCUGGACGCGUUCUGGCGCAUGAUCGUGCAGCACCGAGUGCACACUAUAGUCAUGAUUACCAACCUCGUGGAGCGGGGACGGCGCAAGUGCGACAUGUACUGGCCGGCGGGCGGCGCGGGGAGCUGCGCGGAGUUCGGCGGCGUGCGCGUGGCGCUGCUGCGCGAGGACGUGCGCGCCGCCUACACCGUGCGCGACAUGCGCGUCACCGACCUCGCGCGCGACUACCCGGGUGGUGAGGGCAGCGCUCGUGCGAGCCGCGACGUCGUCCAAUAUCACUACACAGUGUGGCCUGACCACGGCACGCCGCGGCACCCCUUAGCCGUGCUGCCGUUUGUGAAACCGCCGCUCAACAUCCUGCCACCGUACUUGUGCAUUGCAGCGCUGGCGUCGGCCGCACCGGUACCUACAUAGUCCUCGACGCGCAACUCAACCAGUUGAAGUUGACGGGCACACUCUCACCUCUCGGUUAUCUUUGUCGAGCGAGAACACAACGAAACCACUUGGUACAGACAGAAGAACAAUACGUCUUCGUACACGACGCGUUACUGGAACACGUACGGUCAGGCAUCACCGAAGUGGAGUACCACAAAUGUCGGGAAUACUUGCAAAAGUUACUCGAAGAUAUAUCCGAAGAUGACCUGGCCGUGCUCGACCUGAACCCUCCCAAACGUAAGAGUAUCGAUGAUUUGACAGUCACUAACGGAGUCGAUGAAGCUUCCAGUGUGAAAUCGAGUCAAAUAUGCAGCUUGAUAAGGAAGUCGCUGAGAAUGGUAGUCAGUUAUCAAUAAAGACUGAUGAUAAUAGCGAGCAGAGUAAGUCUGCGAAUUCUGAAGCCCCCGAGGAGCAGAAGGAGGGGCUGGUGAAUGGCGAGGACGCGGAGGGAGUGUAUGACUUGGCACCAAGGAGUACUGAUACGUAUACGAAGAAGAUGGCCGCGUAUAAUAAUAUGAGUGAAGUUGAGAAGGAGGAAUUGAGAAGAGCAAACCGAGCGGAAAACUACGCGCUGUUGGAACGGAUGCGCUCGUUCGCGAACCGACACAAUACGUACCAAGGUCCACCGCCAGUCAACUUGCUAGAGAAACAGUUUUUGUUAAUAACGCGUUCGUGCGUGGACGCCAGUGUGUGCGCACGCGCACCGCACAACGCCGAGAAGAACCGUCCCGACGGCGUACUACCAUCGGACACAGCGCGGGUCAUGCUCGUACCCAAACCGGGAGUCGAAGGCAGCGAGUACGUGAACGCGUCGUGGGUGUGCGGGCGGCGACGCCUGCGCGAGUUCGCGGUGGCGCAGCACCCGCCGCACGCGCACGCCGCCGGCGACCUGUGGCGCCUGCUGUGGGACCACACCGCGCAGCUCGUGCUCGCGCUCGCGCCCGACGACGACCCGGAAUGUGAAGUAUUCUGGCCGACGGAAGAUGAAAAGGAGUUGUUUGUAGCCAACUUUAGAGCCAGCUUUGUGUCCAAAGAUACGUACGUCGCGUAUCGGAAAUCCGACAAACCUGACCGGAGAUCACCGGUUACGCCGAUGGAACCAGAGACGAACGGCUACCGACGACAGGAGAGCGACUGCGCUGACGAUGAGAGGCUCAUACCGGAGAACAGUUCGCCAGUAAGCACAACAGAGCCAGCGUAUCGAUUCGACAGAACCGAGCUUAGGUUAGAACGGCUAAGCGCCGGCAACCGAGACCUAUCCGCGAGAAAGUCGAUUGCGAACGGCGACCUUUUCGCAUCACUAUCCGAAAAGAAAAACGGCCCUAAAUCACCGCGCAGCCCUUCGAAAAUGUCGCUCAAAAACUUCAAGCUGAGCUCACCUACGAAGUUCAAAUUUCCCGAUUGGGGAUCGAGGGCGGCCGGCUCGCCUCCGGACACGGCGCCCCCGCCACCUCCCGUUGCGCCUGCGCUCUCAGUGGAAGAGGAGGCUGAACUGCGAAGACCUUGUUACCGUUUCGAAAAAGUCGAUAAAGUGCCGGAGAACACUCCGUCGGACAGAGUUAUCGAAGUGAUUAACGUUAGUGUGCAUUCGUUGCAAGACGACUAUCAGUUGACUGUGAAGUUUAUAAAGUGCAGUGGUUGGUUGGAUGGGGACACUACGGAGUACACGUUGGGCAAACCUGAGGAGAACAAGUUUAUUAAGGCAGUGCGGCAAGCGACGAGCGACAGCGAGCGGAACGAGGCGAUAGACAGGCUUAUACAGCCGUACUCGGACUCGUUCGCGCUCGUUGAGUACGUCGCCGGCUGUCAGAUGGAGUACAAGAAUGGGCCUGUUGUUGUUGUUGACAAGUACGGCGGGUGGAAGGCGAUGACGUUCUGCGCGCUAUCCGCUGCUGGCGGCGGCGCCGGGCUGGGCGCGGCGGCGGGCGCGGGCGCAGGCGCGGCGCGGCGCGGGCGCGUGGAGCGAGGGCGCGGGCGCGGACGUGUACUGCUGGGC